AUAAAGCAACAUACAGGUUUUGGGUAGCAUAUGAAUAAUUAAGCAGCAAGCAGCUUCCCUUCUAGAUCAGGAAACCAAACACAAUAAAACACUAACAAAUGAAUACCAAGCAACACUCAAACAAAGAAUUGCAUGCUAUACAAGUAAGAACAUAUAAACUCGUGUACACAGUCUCAUGCCUUCCUGUGCCUCCAGCAUCCCCUUCCUUCUCAGCUAUCAUUUACCCCACGUUACUCUCAGUGUUUCCUUCCCUUUCUGCCCUACUGCUAAGAAGCUCAAAGCUAAGGUUUCUACUCAAUUUCAAUAAGAAGUAGCAAUUCAGACUUUUUGUCAGUUACUGUACAUUUCCUAGCCCCUAUUACUUGAUUAUUGCUCCUUUAUACCAUUAUAAUGUGUAUGUGUGAGAAUAUGUGUAUCUUUUGGUUCUAACCUAUUAUUGAAAACUGCUUCAAAUCCUUACUGGAAGGAGUCUGGGUUUUUGUUUUUUAAUGUUGACAAUACUCUCUCAUUAAUUUUAAUAAUUAUCUAUCUCAAAACCUAGAUUAUAAGGACCUAGAAGGAUCUUGCUUGCUUCUAACAAUCCCCCAAAAGACUUAACGCUAGGCACAUGGUAGGCAUCCAGCUGAUACUGGCUGAUACAUAUUUUCAAAAGAGAUUUUAAUAAAAAAAGAAGAAGGCUGGAAGGAAAUAAAACAAUGACAGUAACAUGCGUUACGAUGUUGAGGUUAUAGGUUUCCUUUUCUCUGUUUUUCAAAUUUUCUGCAAUGUGCUUACAACUGUUUUUAUAACCACAACUCUUUUGAUGACGUCUUUUAAAAAUGAAAAAAACAAGUGACUAUACUGGAGUUGAGGUUCACCAGCAUGCAUCUUGGGAGACAUGAGCCCUAAACUGUGUCUUCAAGCAAAGGAAUUAAUUUAACACACACAACUGGCAGAGAGGAGAAGGGAAAUGUGUGCGAGAAAGCCCUGCAGUGGGACUGAGCAAAGUGCUCAUUCGAAAACAGCCUGCCUUGGAGAAGAAACCAGAGAGAAGGUUUGAGAAGGUUUCAAAGGUGGGAAGCAGGUGUUUGAGGGUGGUGGGAAUGUUAGGCUAAGGGCUACAUUUGUUUUUUCAGACAGGGUCUCACUCUGUUCAUCCAGGCUGGAGUGCCAUAGUGCAAACAUAGCUCACUGUAACUGUGAGCUCCUAGGCUCAAGCGAUCCUCCUGCCUCAGCCUCCCAGCUAGGACUACAGGUGCACACCACCAUGCCUGGCUAAUUUUUGAAAAUUUUUUGUAGAGACAGGAUCUUGCUAUGUUGACUAGGCUGGUGUCAAACUCCUGGCCUCAAGCAAUCCUCCCGCCUCCGCUUCCCAAAGUGCUGUGAUUGAUUACACACGCUGCACCUGGCCAAGGCUACCUUUUUAACGCAGAAAACUAAGAAGCCUCUUCAGGUUUCUGAAUAAAGAACGAGAAGGCAAUGAUGAUGAAAACUGGAAACAAGCAGGUGGCCAUUACCGCAAUUAAGGCUAAAAUCUAGGUUAAGAAAGGGGAGAGAGAACUGCAAAUGAAAAGGGCAAAGAUGCAGUGAGGAUGAGAAGUUACAAAAGCUAAAAAGAAGGAAGUAAUACUAAGAGGUGUUACAGAGUCCAGCUCAAAGGACAGAAAAAAGGAGGAACUUCAGAUAACAAUUUUUAAAAUACUUAUUAACAGCCAAUUAUGAGUCAGGUACUUUACAAGGUGUUCAAUGGACAUUAUCUAUUUUACUUAUUUUUAUUUUAUCUUUUUGGUUUACUUUUUUUCUUUUUUUUUCAUUUUACAUUAUCUAUUUUAAUCCUCACAAUAUCCCUGUAAGGUAGGUAUAUUACCUUCAGUUUCCAGAUCAAGAAACUGAAGUGCACAGAAGUUUGAAGUAACUUACUCAAACCACUUCACUAAUAACCAGGGUAGGCAGGACUCAAAUACAGACAGUUUGCCUCCAAAAUACAUGGUCCUAAUCACCUCCCUAUGUUGUGUCCAUGCAGUCACGAGUUUGGCAUGAGGAGAGCUGGAGGAAGAGCCCAGGAGACAGUGAAGAGGAAGCAAGAGGCUGUAUAUGUAGCCAGCUGGGUUUGGGGGCACCUCAUGAGUAUCCCAUAGCACAAACGGGCAAACUCUGUUACUGGCACAUUAACUAAAAGACAAAACUCCACAUAAACCUGAGUCCUUCCAACCAACCCGGAGACUUACCCAAAUCUAAUCUAAAUAACAACAACAAAAAAGAAAAAAUCACUAUGAGCCUGUAAGUCAUUAAGGGGGUACAUCUUCAAAUGACAUGCUAUCACUAACCAUGGCUUAAAACCCCACAGAUCCCUAAAACUUAAAGUAUAAUAAUAAAUAAAAAUAAAAAAAUUUAAAAAUUAAAAAAAAAUUUUACAUUUAUCUUUAAGAAUUUGUGUUUGAGAAUAAUUAGCUCUUGCCAUUCUACUACUCUGUAUGUAUGUGGGUUAUCAUUCUUGUGUCUUUCUUCUGCUUGAGUAAAUAAAAAGCAAGAACAACAACAAAAAACCCCACAGAGGAGAAGACUUAGCAAUUGUAGUGAAUAUGGGCUGAAUUCAAAAAGUGGCCUGGAGAUUUUGCCUUGAAUUACUUGGGUGGGAUAAGGAUGAUGGCUCUAAUAGAACCAAGCAAAUGAAAUACUGAUAAGUAUUUGCAGAUAUUACAAAUAAAUUAUAAUAUGUAUUUUGUGUGUAUGUGUUUAACCAAGUUGCAAAGUAGUUAAAGUUCUUUUGUAUGAAUGAA
rnacentral:lncRNA from 10 species